CUGUGCUAUGAUGAUGAUGACAAAAUGUCAGAUUCCUGAAAACUGCUGUGUGGGUUUCUUAAGUCACUACCUCAUCUGAGCAUCAU
ensembl:snoRNA small nucleolar RNA SNORD11B